AACGAACGCUGGCGGCAGGCUUAACACAUGCAAGUCGAGCGCCCCGCAAGGGGAGCGGCAGACGGGUGAGUAACGCGUGGGAAUCUACCCAUCCCUACGGAAUAACGCAUGGAAACGUGUGCUAAUACCGUAUACGUCCUUCGGGAGAAAGAUUUAUCGGAGAUGGAUGAGCCCGCGUUGGAUUAGCUAUUUGGUGGGGUAAAGGCCUACCAAGGCGACGAUCCAUAGCUGGUCUGAGAGGAUGAUCAGCCACACUGGGACUGCGACACGGCCCAGACUCCUACGGGAGGCAGCAGUGGGGAAUAUUGGACAGUGGGCGCAAGCCUGAUCCAGCCAUGCCGCGUGAGUGAUGAAGGCCCUAGGGUUGUAAAGCUCUUUCACCGGUGAAGAUAAUGACGGUAACCGGAGAAGAAGCCCCGGCUAACUUCGUGCCAGCAGCCGCAGUAACAC
rnacentral:rRNA from 1 species